UAACAGGAAGCAGCUUGCUGCUUCGCUGACGAGUGGCGGACGGGUGAGUAAUGUCUGGGAAACUGCCUGAUGGAGGGGGAUAACUACUGGAAACGGUAGCUAAUACCGCAUAACGUCGCAAGACCAAAGAGGGGGACCUUCGGGCCUCUUGCCAUCGGAUGUGCCCAGAUGGGAUUAGCUAGUAGGUGGGGUAACGGCUCACCUAGGCGACGAUCCCUAGCUGGUCUGAGAGGAUGACCAGCCACACUGGAACUGAGACACGGUCCAGACUCCUACGGGAGGCAGCAGUGGGGAAUAUUGCACAAUGGGCGCAAGCCUGAUGCAGCCAUGCCGCGUGUAUGAAGAAGGCCUUCGGGUUGU
rnacentral:rRNA from 1 species